UACGUAGGGUGCAAGCGUUGUCCGGAAUUAUUGGGCGUAAAGAGCGUGUAGGCGGUUUGGUAGGUCCGCUGUGAAAACUCGAGGCUCAACCUCGAGCUGUCGGUGGAAACCGUGUGGCUAGAGUCCGGAAGAGGAGAGUGGAAUUCCCGGUGUAGCGGUGAAAUGCGCAGAUAUCGGGAAGAACACCCGUGGCGAAGGCGGCUCUCUGGGACGGUACUGACGCUGAGACGCGAAAGCGUGGGGAGCGAACAGG
rnacentral:rRNA from 1 species